UUCAGAAGCUGCCUCUGCUCUGACACUGCAGCUACCAGCAGCACUACGUAAUGACGGUCAUUAAUCAGUGCUGGUGACUUUCAUUUUUGCUCAGCUGAUGAACUUACGUGGGACGAAGCCUGUAUAGGCUGGGAUCAGUCCAGCGCUGGUGUAGAUGCUGCUGCUAGGCCAGUAAGUCUGGGGAAAUCUCUUGCCAAAGCUGUAAAUUGGGUUCCUCUCCAGCAACUGGAAAAGGAUCAAUAGCACCGUUGGUUGUAAAACACGCUGCUACAAAGCUGUGCCCUUCGAGUCCUUAUUAAAGGCAGCACUCAAACUCACAGUUCCAUUUUCUACUAUUUCUAAGCUACACUUCCCUGGGAGAUUCAGCCACCCCUCCCCACCCCGAAGUUCUGCCUUUAUGGGAUCUGGCAGCGGCCCCGCAGACUUCACACUGCAGCUCUGCAUUUGGCGCCGGCCCCAAAGCCCGGCCGUGUUGUGCUCAGAACGGUGAUGUACGGUGAUGUACUGAGACCCACUGCUGCAGUGGGCACCUCGAGCCGUGACUCUGCACGUCUGUUUGCUGUCACCCCCGUCCCAGGCUCCGCUUUUCCUUGGUGGUGAUUAACACCUAAUUCCCAGCCUGGGAGGAAGAGGAAGGCUUAGGAUGCGUGAGCUGAAGGGAGAGUGUAAAUCGGCCUCUGUCACCUGCUGUGAGGUCACACAGAGCGGGAGCUGUGUGGCAGAACCCCCCCCCCCAGGGGUCCCACUGAUGCUACGCGGCCCUGGGCGGGGGGGGGGGGGGAAGGGGCCCACGGAGCCCCACGCAGUGCUGCAGCCUCCUGCUGCCCUCCCAAAGCUGCACUGAAGCGAGAGGAUUGCACUGUUCUGCCCGAUGCAGCCAGCAAGAAAUGAUCCGCGGCGCAUCUCAGCACGUAACCUAGGGCAACCGAGAUCCAGGGCAGCAGAUUAGAGGCUCGAAGGCUGAAGCCAUCUUAGACAGAAAUUUGGUGUGAUUUCUUUUUUUUUUUUUUUUCUCCUCAUCCCUUCAGCUCCUCCUUCCAGCACCAGCAGUAACCUCAGCAGGCCUUUGUGCUGCUGGUCCUGCAAUGGGGAGCAGCAUCCGUCCCCCAAACAGGGGUUUCCUCAUGAGCAAGAGGCAGAGCUGGCGAGCAGCACAGUGGGCUGUGGCCACAUCCAGUGCAGCAGCACAGAGGAAUCUGUUAAGCACGGUGGGAGGGAGCUCGUUUCUCACGUAGGAGGAUUAUAUGGUGUGAUACAGAGGAGUGCUACAGCGAGAAGAUGGAACGGGAGCUUUACAGCAUGGAUAUUUCUCCUCAAUCCGUUGUCCACCUUUUAGAGACGAGCAAUGGUAGUAAAGGAACAAACCACCACCACCACCGCAGUGCAAAGGAUGCAUUGCAUAAGGGCGUCCUGCACCCACAGCUACGUUUUUAACAGCCUCCCGUGAACCUUAAUCCUUUUAUGAACUCAUUUACCCUCCCUCGGUGUCCCAAGGAAAUGAAGUUACAGGAUUUAAUUGCUCAUUUUUUGCAGCACGUUAACCCAGUGCUGGUUUUUUUGGCUUGCACUGAUACCCCCAAUUCUGCUGCAAACAAAACCGCUGCUGGGGGUGCAGCUGAGAGGUUACGUGGCUGCAGCCAGCCCUGUGUGCGCCCUACCUGCUGCCUGUCAAAUUCAGCCAUGGCUUCCUUCACGCCCUGCAGGUAAUUAGUGCCCAUGGCCCACCUGAAGCGCGGUAUGAAUCCAGUGUACCCUAUGGAUGGAGAUGGAACACACGCUGUGUAAGGCUCAGCCAGCAGAGCAAGAGCCGCUGCGAUAAAUACAACAUCCUGGCAGAGCACAGGAAGGAAAAACUUCCUUCAAAUCCACCCAUCUGAAUUGGAUGUCAGAGGUGAGAUUUAUUCCAAAGGCCCUUUUGUUUCUCCCCAUCCUCCCCCUCUACCUGGGAUGACCUUCUGCUGGAUCACUCUGGGCACAUCCAGCCUGGGGAGCCGCCAAUCCUCGGCUGCUGGCAGCGUCACACCUUCAGCUCUCACAGGCUCAAAAUGAAAGCAGAAAUGUCAGACGUGGCUGGUAAAACCUGCUCCCCUCCACCUCCAUCACCGCCAGAACCCGUUCGUCCCAACCGCCAUUGCUGCGGUGUCCUCCUGGUGCUCCAAAGAGCUGCUCCAGAAUUUCUAAGGCCAAAUGAAUGGGGAUUAGCACAGCCCUGAGCCAUCAGCGCUGGCUUCAGCAGAAAUGGGGCGACCAAAGCACCGUCCCGGAGAGAUGAAGUCAAAUCCCAAUGCUUCUAAGAGGGAUCCACUGGGAAACCCAGGUGAGCUGGGAACCCAUCACAACACCCUCCUGGUGAAGAGCUGUGUUUGCUGAUCCUGAAAACAUCCCUGCAACGUUGGUACUCAUCAACAUUUUAGGGAACGGCUGUGCCCCAGCAGGCCCUGGGAUGGCUGCAGCUGCCGGAGCCCUGGGAUGCCACUCUCAGCCAUAGCGUUGGGGUGGCCCUGAGCCCCUGUCCCCCCCCAUCCCCAUCCCCAUCCCCUCACACCUCCCACCCGAGGCCUCACCUGCCUGGUUCCUGCAGCUGCGCCAGCCCUGUGCCACGUGCCAUGCCCACAGGCCUCAGGGAUUGGGGGCAGCCGCCACUCCUGUCCCUGCGGUGGCCCCGAUGGGUCCCAGGCCGCACUGGGUGGGCACCCACUCAGCCCUGAGCCGCCGUGGCCAUGCUGGGGCUCCGUGUGCGUCAGAUUGGGCUCUGCCGGCCCCGGUGCGGGCGGCUUCGGCCCAAACUCCGCUUCAGGGAAGUUGGUCAGAGCUCCGGCUCUGUCAUAGGGGAAGAACCCUGCAGGGAAGCAGCAGGACGGGAUGGGACGUGGCACGGCCAGCACUGUGCCCUCAGCCCCCUCCUGCUCCCUGGGACGGGAGCGCAGACCCAGAGCACUCAGCGCCAGGCGCUCAUGGAGAACAGCAGCUCUUCCUCAUGGGAGAACUCACUGCGUCCCAUUCAUUCCUUUGUUUUUAAACAAACCAAACCCUUCCCAUUUCUGUUCUCCAAGUCAUUCCUUUCAGCCCGCAGCCACCACCGCCUUUUCCACGGCAUCCGCGCUGCUACCAGCACUGCCCACAGGAUUUGCCCUUCUGCACAGGUAUGGGGCUGUCGGCUGGCAUUUAGGUUUGUAAUCUGCCCACAGUGAUGUGAUAAAUGACACAUGUCGUACAUAACGUUAUAGGGUACAUGAACUCUGUACAACGGCACUAUCAGCUGCUGUCCAGGAUAACAGAAUCCUUGAUUAAACUGAUUUUCCAACCCAACGUGCCAGUUUUCAAGCGAGAUAACCUUCAUGUUUCCUGCAUUUCUAUUGGAAGUACUGCAUCUCUGCUUUUCUUCUUCAGCUGGCAAACCAGUUAUUGCACUGACAGGAAAAUGAGUCUCAGAACAGCUUGGGUUGGAAGAGACCUCAAAGAUCAUCCAGUUCCAACCCUCUGCCGUGGGCAGGGUUGCCAAAAAUGAAACCCCUUUGUACACAAGGAGCCUCCAAGCAACUCCUGACCAGCCUGUGCCACAUCCAUAUCCCUAUCCAUAUCCAUAUCCCUUCAGCAGUGCCUGCAUGGCCACCCUGAGCCCCGGCACAACCACAUCCCCAACAGCAUUCCAGGAAAAACUCAACACGGGACUCAAUGGGUGGGAACCAACAACGUCCUUUGUUCCCACCAACAAGGCUUUACCGAAGAUGCCAACCCUUUGGGUGCUGAGCUUGCUGGAGGCCACGUUUGCAGCACUGCUGGGGGCUCUCUGACCACAGCUGUGCGUAACGUUGUGCCUAAGGAAGGCAGGCAGUGCUGAGCAAAGCUUGCAGUGGAGGUUUGAGGAACGGAGGCAUGCGGUGCUUCUCGUGGCUGUGUUCCCAGCACGCCACCAGCGAGCAGGAGGCUGAGCUCCCAGCUGCAGACAGUGGUGGGGUUGGGAGGGAUGAGAACAAUGGCAAAGACUAAUGACAGACAUCAACCAGGUCGACUGGUUCGUUUGGUCCCUUCAAACCACUCAGUCCAAGGAAAUGCAAAUGGAAACGUCCAGGAACAAAGCCUGGGAACAACACUGCCUGGUGGAGUCCCAGUCCUGCAGAACACGGCUGGGAGGAGCAUAAGUUUGCAGGAAGCUACGAGACACAAAUUGCCAGCAGGUAAAGGUCCCUCAGUGCCACAUCUCCAGAGUUCUUGAACACCUCCAGGGACGGUGAAUCCACCACUCCCUGGGCAGCUGUGCCAAUGCAUUAUCACUCUUUUGAAGAAUAAAUGCUUCCUAAUACCCAACCUGAACCUCCCUUGGAGCAACUUGAGGCCAUUUAUCUCCAUUCCAACAAAGACAACCUGGGGUCUAACUUUGCACCCCACCAGGUGCCAACAUGCACUCACUGGCUGAGGCUUUGCCCUGAGCUCUGAGCUCCCACACGAUGUGGAGCUGUACCAACAACAGCCCCCAGGAGCCCACUGCGGGUGGCACAGACCUCACUGGUGACCAAACCCACACAACUCUGGGCUCUGCUCACCUGGGUGUGCAGGGAGGAAGGGCUGCAGGCCGUGCUGCGUCCCGCUGAAGUCCUCAAUGAACCUCGGCUUGCACAGCGGUGCCAGCACAGAGCGAGGGCUCCUCCGGAUGUGUGGGUCCGUCAGCAGGCGGUACGUGGUUUUGCCAUAGGUCUCUCCAAACUGGUAGUUGUACUGAGGGAGGAAGCCCUCAUAGCUGGAAAGGGAACAGAGACAUGGAGCCCAUGUGGAGCUGUGCAUGGGGCAGAGUGAGGGGAAGUUGAGCCCAGGGAUCUCCCGGUGUCCCUGAAACCCAAGAACUGGAGAAGGACCUGUGAUAGCACAGAGACACAACCACCCCAUCAACAAUCCCACUGUAUGCCUAUCUGGGGAUAAAGGCAGAUGAUGCACAAGGAUCAGAAGGCGAUGAGUGAGCACCUUCCAUCCCAACUGCUUUCAACAGCAGAGCCAUGCGUUACACCUGGCAGCUCUCCUGCAGUGCCUGCAGGACCUUCACUGGAGCUGGAGGAGCUCGGUGGCCUCUUCCCAUUGGCUUCCAAUACUUCUUGCAACACCAGGAAGCAGUGCAGGAUGAUAAAUCUGAGCAGAUGACGUAGCCCGAAUAAUUACAGGCCGGGCAUUGGAGCUCUGAUCGUGAACAAAGUAAUGGCAGGGCUGAGAAAGGAUUCUGUUUAUGAGCAAUGAAAAGCAAGGCAAUCUGAGGAGCUCAGGUCUGGGCUUACAGAGAACAGAUCUGCCACAAAGUGAAUCACAGCACGGCUGAUGUGAGCCGCGGUGCUCUGGGGAGGGAUCAGCACUCUGCAGGCUGAGCUGCUUUGUGCGGCUGGCAUUCUCCUUAAGAAACCAGAGCAAUCGCUCGGUUCUGCAGGUCACCAUUGCAGCCAUUGUUCUAAAAACCCAUCCCUGAGCAGCCGCCUCCAUCCCUGGUCAUGGAGCAGCGCUGGCCCCAGUCCAGGGCUGCAGGGAUGGGACGGGACAGGACAGGACGGGCAGAGCCAAUGCCCAGGAUGGGAGCACUUCUCCAUGCACGGAGCCCUCCCCUGAAUUCCUAUUGUUGGGUUUGACUUCCCAAUGCCUUCAAGCAUCUUUGAGUCAUCGCCACCGCUGCAGCAGCUUCCAUGCCAUCAAUCAGAGAGCACUGCAAAAGCCCUUCAGAAGGCUCAGCUGUGUACCACUGAGAUCCCCCCACCCUCAGCCACCAGCACAGACCCAGCAGCUCCCUGGCGAUGCGUUGCGUUCACACAAACAUUCACUCAAAGGAGAUUUUCAGAUACCUCGAUGCAAGAAUUAUUUCAGUUCUGAGCCCAAAUCCCGGAGAGCAGCGCCAGAAAUUUCCUCUCCUUGUUUUGAAGUGACGAAAGCAGUUCUGAAGUUCCCCUCAACGCCCUACAGCACUGCCUUUAAUUACAGCCUGCUGCAAGGCACUGCCUGUCCCCCCAAUCCGUGUCCCCCCCCCGAGCCACAUCCCUUCGUUAUGUGGCACGUUUAAGAGUGCCUUUAAAAAGAACAACAAUCAGAAAUCACAGAAUUCACUGUUUUAUCCCAACCUGAGCUAUUUGCGUUGGAAAUGAACCGACUUUGUGGGUGAAGCCCAGCACUUACCCAGGGAUGUGGUGCGGGUGGGGAGGGAAGAGUGGGCUCUGCCCGGGGGCUGCCAUGGCCCGGCAGUGCUCGGGGGUGGGAUGGGGGCACUCAGCAGUUACCUGGGAAACCUCUGUGAUGUUGCAUGCACUGCUGCUCUUUGGGUCCUUCUGGUUUAAUGAGAACACCACUCACUGCAGCACAGCACCGGGCAGCAGCACCAGCUGCUCCACGUCCCCGUGCCUGCAUCCAGACAGCCCCGUCCCAUCCGUGACCUCGGCAUGCAGCAGCUGCACGGCACCGCUCUGCUCCUUCCAACCCCGGGCGCAGACGUACGCUCACCAGCACUCAGACCACUGCAUCUGCCCUAAGUUAAAAAGUAAAGAAAAAAAUCCAGUGUGGGGAAAAAAAAACCAAAACGCACAUAUGUAACAAAAGCAGUGCUUAACAACCACAGGAAAAAAGAACAUGCUCUUGGACUCCUCUACCAGCAUCCUCUGCAGACCCUGAUAGCGUCGCUCCCAAAGGGUUGCUAAUCCAGCUCUGUCAGUCCUCAGGUCCCUAAACGUUUCCUAGCUCUGUCAGCCCAUAGUUUCUCACUACACAAACUGUCUGCAGCACGAGCCUACAGAAACACCUGCUAAUGUGCACAAGACUUCCAUCUGAUUGAAUGGAAUAGUUCGAGGAGACUGAAGUCUUUACUUCUAGAAUCUGUCCUUGGAUCGUGGCUCUCCGGCAGCUCCCAUCCCAACCAGGAGAGCUCCACGUGCCCAGCGAGGCGGGAUGCGUUCAUGUUUCCCAAAGGCGUACGGGUGCCGAAUAAACCCCUCACAGUAUUCCCAGGAAA